UAUUCCAUCCAUUCACUCUGUGCCUUUUGUAUAGUCUUAAGUGGAUGUCUUGGAGAUGUAUGAAAACCCUGUCAUUUCUAGCCUUCCAAAGCCACCACAGGAUAUUGACAGUGAAGGCUAUAUGUUUCAUUCCUUCUGGCCUGUUCCUAGCUUCUAUCACUACACUCUACCAUCUACUGAAAUUCCCUGUAUAGUCAUCUAGUCCAUCCCACUUCACUGGUGACAAAUGCCACACUUCUUGAGCUAAUCUCCAGAGGAAGAAAAGGUGUUCCAUUGUUUCUAUGCCUUCCCCACAACUUUUACAUAUCGGAUCUCCCAUCCUGAUACGAACAUCGCCAACUUUGUAACGAAACCUGUAAAAGAUUAGCUUCAGGAUCGACAAGAGGACACCAAGUUUGGAGCGAAUGACCUCAACCCGUUAAUCACGUGGUUAACGAACUUUGGUAUAAUGGUAGAAGAUGCCACAACCUAGUGUGAUUCUAGAUUGAUAAGUCACGAACACCUAGAGAAAUUUUAAGGUAUUCAAGAAGUCUUGGAGAAACCAAGAAAACUCUCAAAUUCUAAUUUAUUGAUUGAAUGCCUAAAUCGUUGGAAGUGUGGGCUAUUUAUAGCCUUACAUAGAGAUGAAAAACUAAAUAAUGUGGAACUAGUCUAGAAUUGUGGGCUUGACUAAAACUAAGAAUUGUAGGCUUGACUAUUUCCAUAAGACUAAGAAUUGUGGGUUUGACCGAAUCUUAUGAGGUCAUCCCUUAGGUAAAUAAAGCAAAACUAUGGACCAUUAAGCCCUUAUUACAAUGACAUAACUAAAACAGCAAAUGUGAUUAGAGAAGGGUCAUACAUGGUUCUCUUUGACAUGCACCACACGGAUGACCUUCAUUCCUUCAUGCUCAAGUCCCUCAAUGACCUUGGAGACAAUUUCUUGGGCUUGUAUCUCAUGAACAAGCCCUUGGAGUUCCUCCCUCAUCUUCUUAACUCGUGCUUGAGUCACGGGUUCUAGGGGAACUCGAAUAGUUCGCAAUGGUGUCUCUUGGUUCAUAUCAUCCCCCUCCUCUUGAAAAGGAUUUGUUCUCAAUCAACUUCAUCGUCUGCAAGAAAAGGAGAUAGAUCAGAGACAUUGAAUGUAGCGCUCACAUUGUACUCACCGGGUAGGUCUAGUUUGUAAGCAUUGUCAUUGAUGCAAUUGAUGGUUUGAAAUGGCCCAUCUCCUCGAGGGAAUAAUUUAUUGCACAUUUGGACUGGGAACCUUUCCUUGCGUAGAUGUAACCACAGCCAAUCACCAGGUUCAAACACAACGCGUUGGCGUCCCUUGUUAACCUGUCGAGCAAUUUGGUCCAUUCUUCGCUCAAUGUUUAGGCGUACUUGCUCAUGUAAUUUCUUGACAAAAUCUGCUCAUUUAGCACCAUCUAUGUUAAUGUGCUCAGAAGAAAGUAAAGAUGAUAAGUCUAGCGGUGUUAAAUGAUUAAAACCAUAGACUAUUUCAAAUGGUGAAAAAUGAGUAGAACUAUGCACCGUGCGAUUGUAUGCAAACUCAACAUGGGGUAAACACUCUUCUCAAGUUCUAAUGUUUUUUUUUUUAAUGAUGACACGUAAGAAUGUAGAUAGUGUACGAUUGACAACCUCAAUUUGGCCAUCAGUUUGUGGAUGACUAGUAGUAGAAAAUAGCAAUUUGGUACCCAAUUUUUCCCACAAAGUUUUUCAAAAGUAACUCAAAAAUUUGACAUCCCUAUCAGAGACAAUUGUGCUAAGCAUGCCAUGCAAUCUAAUGAUUUUUUUGAAACCUAAAUCAGCUAUGUGUGAUGUAUCAUCUGUUUUGUGAUAUGGUAUAAAAUGUGUCAUUUUUUAAAAUCUGCCAACAACAACAAAGAUGCUAUCAUUUCCCCUCUUUGACUUAGGCAACCCUAAAACAAAAUCCAUGGAAAUGUCGGUCCAAGAUUCCUUAGGUACAGGUAAAAGACUAUAAAGACCAUAGGGUUGAAGUUUAGACUUAACUUUGUGGCAAGUGAUGCAUUUAGCCACCAUUCGUUCCACAUCUCACUUCAUCCUUGGCCAAUGGAAGUGCUCUUGAAGGAUAGCUAAGGUUUUAGCCACACCAAAAUGCCCCAUCAAGCCACCUCCGUGUGCUUCCCUAACAAGUAAAGAGCGAAUAGAGCAAUUAGGUAUACACAGUCGAUUGAGGUAGAAAAGAAAUCCAUCAAGAAUGUAGAAUUUACCUUGAGUUACUGAACCACAAGAGUCAUAAAUACCUGAGAAAUCUGAGUUAUUAGUGUAUAACUCUUUAACUAAUUCAAAUCCUAACAACCUUGCAUCAAAUUGAGUGAGCAAAGAGUACCGGCGUGAUAAUGCAUCAGCAACAACAUUAGUUUUCCCCACUUUAUACCUAAUCACAUAAGGGAAGGUUUCAAUAAAUGCAAUCUACCUAACAUGACACUUAUUCAAUUUGUGUUGUGACUUAAUGUGCUUAAGCGACUCAUGGUCAGUGUGUAUGACAAAUUUCCUUGGUCUCAAGUAAUGUUGCCAAGUUUCUAAAGUACGGAUUAAGGAGUACAACUCCUUAUCAUAAGUGGAAUAGUUCAAAGCUGUCCCAUUGAGUUUUUCACUAAAGUAUGCAAUUGGUUUGCCUUUUUGCAUUAGGAUAGCUUCAAUACGUACCCCAGAUGCAUCACACUCUAUUUCAAACAUCUUGUCAAAGCAUGGCAAUGCAAGUAGUGGUGCGUGUGUGAGUUGAUGUUUAAGCAUUUGGAAAGCACGUUCUAAAGCAUCGCCCCACAAAAAUGGCUCAUUUUUCUUAAUUACAGCAGUUAGAGAUGCAACAAUGGUACUAAAAUCUUUAACAAAUCGUCUAUAAAAACUAGCAAGACCAUGGAAGCUGCGUACCUCACCUACCGUGUUUGAAGUAGGCCAUUCUCGAAUUGCUUUAACCUUCUCCUCAUCCACUUUGAUUCCCUGUUUACUCACAACAAAGUCUAAGAAGACAAGUUUAUCAGUACAAAAGGAGCACUUCUUAAGGUUAGCAUAGAGCUUUUCCCUUCGAAGUACAUCAAGAACAAGCUUCAUAUGUUCAACAUGCUCAUCUAGGCUCCUACUAUACAUCAGGAUGUCGUCAAAAUAUACAACUACAAAUUUUUCAAGGAAUGGAUGAAGUACAUGGUUCAUCAAUCUCAUGAAUGUACUAGGUGCAUUAGUUAGUCCAAAUGGCAUAACUAACCAUUCGUACAAGCCAUGUUUGGUUUUAAAGGCCGUUUUCCAUUCAUCCCCCUCUUUCAUUCUAAUUUGAUGAUAACCGCUUUUUAGAUCAAUUUUAGUGAAAAUCACAGCACCAUAUAGCUCAUCUAACAUAUCAUCAAGUCUAGGAAUACGGUAACGAUAUUUUACCGUUAUUGCAUUGAUGGCCCUACAGUCAGUGCACAUUCGCCAACUUCCAUCUUUUUUAGGCACCAAGAUGACGGGAACCGCACAUAGGCUUAAGCUUUCUCGUGCCCAUCCCUUUGUUAGAACCUCUUUGAUUUGGCGUUGGAGCUCCUUUGUCUCAUCUGGCCCCAUUUUAUAGGCUGGUCUGUUAGGAAGUGGGGCACCUGGAACCCAGUCAAUUUGAUGCUCAAUUCUCCCUAUUGGUGGUAGUCCAUUUGGAAUCUUAUCGGGGAAGACAUCCUCAUAAUCCUGCAAAAGAGAGACAAUACUAGAUGGUAGAGUGUUAGUAAGAUCACUUGUAACAACCAACACCUCUUUGCACAAAAGUACAAAGAUUGAUGUAUUAACACUCAAAGCUUUUGUUACUACAUUGGCUUUUAUCAAUAGAUUUUGCCUUUUCUCUCUCUUUUUAAUUUUGGCCGGCUCACCAUAUGUCUUUUUCCUUUCAAUUUUCUCGGUCUUAUCAUUUUCUGUUGAGCUCUCGACUUUUUCUAUUUUUUUCUUCUCAUUCUUGAGCUCACUCAGCUUGAUCAAGCUUUCUUGAUCUUCACGAACUUGGAUAGGAGUGAGUGGCACAAGCACAAUCCUCUUCUCGCCUAAUGCCAUCAAAUGUAACUCCCUUGUCGAAUUGCCAUGGUCUCACCAAUAGUAUGUGACAUGCUUGCAUAGGGACCACGUCGCAUAACACCACGUCCUCAUACUUUCUAAUUCGGAAAGGUACUUGGACUUGCUUGGUCACACGAACAUCCCCACUAUCGUUCAACCAUUGCAAAUGAUAAGCUGUUGGAUGUCGUAGAGUGGGUAGUGCUAGUUUCUCCACCAUCAAGGCACUAGCGACGUUAGCAUAACUACCUCCAUCUAUGAUCAAACUACAUACCUUGCCUUUGAUAUAGCAACGGGUGUAAAAAAUGUUCUCCCUUUGUGCAUGGUCGGCGGCUUUCACUUGGGUUGCUAAGGCUCGUCUGACAACAAGUCCAACUCGUUCAUCGACGGGCAAUGCUUCCUCUUCUUCCUCAAGGGAUGGCAACUCCUCCUUCUCAUCUUCAUCAUCGGUGAGAAACUCACCAUUGGGUAAGAUGAUCAUAGUGCAUUGGUUUGGACAUUAGUUAGCAAUAUGCCCUCUGUCUUGACAUUUGAAGCAUCUAGUAUUUCGAUUUCGCCCAUGCUCGACUCAAUGGCAGUCUUUGGUAUUGCCUUAGACUCCCACUUAGUCAUAUCCGGCCUCGGUCUUGAAGGGGUGGAAUUACUCGACCCUUUAUCCUCCUUCUUUGGUGGUGUAGUUCCAGGAUAAGAGGGUGAAAAGUUGGAGUAACUCCGAAUCGAACCCGUCCUUUUAAUUCUCCUUUCAAUCUUGAUGGCCUUCUCCACCAAGUCCCCAAGUUCCACAUAGUAGUGUAACUCCAAUUGGUUAGCGAUUUCGAGUCUUAGUCUGUUCAAGAAACGUGCCAUUAUUACUUUUCGAUCCUCCAUGAUGUCUGCCCGUAGCAUGAGUAUUUCCAUUUCCUUGUGAUAGUUCUCGACACUUCGUGCUCCUUGGUUGAGGGUUUGAAGCUUUUGAUACAAGUCACGGUAGUAGUGGCUUGGUACGAAACGCUUCCUCAUUGGUCGUCUUAGCUCCGUCCAAGUUUGUACGGUAGGUUCACAACUCUUCCUUCAACUAGUGGAGAGUUGAUCCCACCACACAACGGCGUAGUUGGUGAAUUCGACCAGGACCAACUUGACCUUUUGCUCAUCCGAGUAAGUAUUGCAGUCGAAAACAAGUUCAAUCCGCUUCUCCCACUCUAAGUAGGCAUUGGGGUCUGAUCAUCCUUGGAAGGGCGGAAUUUUCAUCUUUAUACCCGGAAUGUAGUCAUUUGAAGGCCUAGCAUCUCGCUUGGACCUACCUUGCUUAUGCUCAUAGUUGUUGUCCGAGUUAGAGUCGCUAAACUCAUGUGCAUAAGCCUUUCCACGGCUGCCUUUAGAGCUUCCAUGAAACAACUCUAAGCUGUCAAUGCGUUGGUGCAUUAGUUCAAGUUUUUGGUUCAUUAUACGUCCCAAUUCGCUUUUGAUUGCGUCUGUGAAAAGUUUACGAUCAAAAGUUUGGGAGCUUGCUCCCCCCUCGUUAGCCAUGGUGAAGUAUAGGGUAAAAAUAAUAAUGGAAAGAAGCAAAGUUUACCUCGCACACUUCUUCAUGUGUUUAAUCUCACUCUCGUGUUUGAACACUCUAAUGAACUCACCAAGGUGUUUUCAAGGCUUCUCGAUCAACUCUUUGAAGAAGUUAGAACUCCCUCUAGUGUGGUUUGACUUACCAACCAAGGUCACAAGAUUGUAGCACUUUGAAUGAAAAAGAACAAAAGAUGAAGGGGUUGACCACAACUCAAUGAAUGACUCAAAAUUGAAUUUUAAGGAUCCUAGACAAAACUCUACCCGAAACUGAAAUUUUGAGCUGCUGGUUGCUGCAUUUCUGGUCAGUAUUUUGGUAGGUAAAUGGACACUUAGAGGAUUUAGAAAGACACUUAAAACUGACCUAAUGAUGCACGAAAAUUUUCAGAAUCAAUGAUUGGACAGAAAUUCUCCAACAGUUGCAAAGAUGGAACUCGAAUGGAAAAGAAAUUUGUGUUGCGGUGGGACUGUUUUGGAACCCCAAUGCUGACUUUUCCUCCUUAAUCCUUUGGAAACAAGGAUUAGUCUUCCUAUCUGCUGGUUCCCAUGAAUUCUAAGGUCAAGAUCAAGAUUGGAACUGAUACGGUUGUUUUUUGGGAACAACGCUGAAAAAUUUGACUUGAACAGAUUGGAAAAUUUGACUUUGAAUAGGUUGGAAAAUUUGACUUGAAUAAGCUGAAAAAAAUUUGACUCCAAUAUUUCGAUAGUCAACUUUUAUGAGGGCAUUUAUCACAAUCAAUGGUCAAAUUUGGAAGCUUUCAAGAGUCAAAUUUCGUGGUUUAGGAAAGUUGGUUUUCAUGGCUGAAUGUUCUUCUUCAUAUCAAUGGUCAAUUCUGGAGGCUUUCAAGAGUCAAAUUUUGUGGCUUAGGAUGGCUGGCUUUCAAAAGUCCCAACUAAAGUUCCAAGAACUUCAAGAUUGUGGUUUUAAACAAUCAAGAACUUCAAGAAACCUAAGUUUUGAUCAAGACAGAUUUCCAAAAAUUUUGUAAGGUCAGCCAGCUAUAUUCUUCCUUUUUUUUUUUUUUUGUAUGUAAACAACAAGAAGACAAGGUAACAACUAGAUAGGACUCUAAACCCCUUGCUACAAACUGAUUUUUUUUGGAUGAACAGUAAACUCAGAUGAUCAAAUAGAAUAAAAGACUGGAAUUAAAUGGAUAUAACAGAAUAGAAACAAGACACAAACACAAACAAAGAGUCAAGAAUAAGACACAAAAAAAAGGUUGGACCAAAUAAGUCUAACCACAACAAUUAACAACAACUAGACGCAAGUUUAUGACACGACAAAUCUGAAAAAAUAACGCAAGACCACGAUACAACAAAUCUGAAAAUUGCGGAUAGCAAACUUAGAACAUAAAAACAGAAUUUUCGUCAACUUGACUCGAAAAGCAAAUAAAUAAAGGGAUAUAACGUGAUACCUCUUAACUAGCUCUGAUUACCAACUGAUACGAACGUCGCCAACCUUGUGACGAAACCCGUAAAAAAUUAGCUUCAGGAUCGACAAGAGGACACCAAGUUUGGAGCGGAUGACCUCAACUCGUUAAUCACGUGGUUAACGAACCUUGGUAUAAUGGUAGAAGACGCCAUAACCUAGUGCGAUUCUAGAUUAAUAAGUCACGAACACCUAGAGAAAUUCUAAGGUAUUCAAGAAAUCUUGGAGAAACCAAGAAAAUUCUCAAAUUCUGAUUUAUUGAUUGAAUGUCUAAAACCGUUGGAAGUGUGGGCUAUUUAUAGCCUUACAUAGAGAUGAAAAACUAAAUAAUGUGGAACUAGUUUAGAAUUGUGGGUUUGACUAAGAUUAAGAAUUAUAGGUUUGACUAUUUCCAUAAGACUAAGAAUUGUAGACUUGACUGAACCUUAUGAGAUCAUCCCUUAGGUAAAUAAAGCAAGACUAUGGACCAUUAAACCCUUAUUACAAUGACUUAAUUAAAAUAGCAAAUGUGACUAGAGAAGGGUCACACAUGGUUCUCUUUGACGUGCACCACAUGGAUGACCUUCAUUCCUUCAUGCUCAAGUCUUUCAAUGACCUUGGGGACAAUUUCUUGGCCUUGUAUGUCACGAACAAGCCCUUGGAAUUCUUCCCUCAUCUUCUUAGCUCGUGCUCGAGUCACGGGUCCGAGAGAAACUCGAAUAGUUCGCAAUGGUGUCUCUUGGUUCAUAUCACAUCCUGGUUCUGCUAUGAAUUGUUUCAUUGACAGGUAGUGCCAAGUUCAUGCAUUUCCAUAUAAACAGCUUCAAUUUGUGCUUGACCUUGAAUUUCCACAGAUGUUUCCAUAGCUUCUUUUUCUCCCAGCUUGUCUCCUCUCCUGUUGCCUCUCUCUGUUGUUGUUGAGUACAUCUUUGCCUGUUAAUUUCUUUAUAUGCAAAAGUUACUGUGUAUUGGCCGUUCCAUUGUAUAGCCAAAAAAGGCAAUCCUCCCUGUUUGUCUAGAUGAUUGGGAUUCUCGGGAUCCUCUUU
rnacentral:lncRNA from 1 species